rnacentral:rRNA from 1 species
GACGAACGCUGGCGGCGUGCUUAACACAUGCAAGUCGAACGGAAAGACCCUGCUUUUGUGGGGUGCUCGAGUGGCGAACGGGUGAGUAACACGUGAGUAACCUGCCCUUGACUUUGGGAUAACUUCAGGAAACUGGGGCUAAUACCGGAUAGGAGCUCCUGCUGCAUGGUGGGGGUUGGAAAGUUUCGGCGGUUGGGGAUGGACUCGCGGCUUAUCAGCUUGUUGGUGGGGUAGUGGCUUACCAAGGCUUUGACGGGUAGCCGGCCUGAGAGGGUGACCGGCCACAUUGGGACUGAGAUACGGCCCAGACUCCUACGGGAGGCAGCAGUGGGGAAUAUUGCACAAUGGGCGGAAGCCUGAUGCAGCAACGCCGCGUGCGGGAUGACGGCCUUCGGGUUGUAAACCGCUUUCGCCUGUGACGAAGCGUGAGUGACGGUAAUGGGUAAAGAAGCACCGGAUAACUACGG